rnacentral:lncRNA from 1 species
UUAGAAGCAUCAACUGCUACGUAAUGGUAAGAUUUUGUCAGCUAGUACUAAGGUGAUGUAGAGAUAAUAUUUGGUUUGUCGUUUAAAGUGUUCAAGUUUGAUGUUUUCUGGCUCAUGAACAUUUGCAGUUUUGUUUCAGUCCGCUAGGCCUAGGGGAAAUCAUUCAACUUUUUACAUGAUUCAGAAUUAAUUAAAAACAUUUGUUUAGAUGGGUUUGCAGUUUCGGCUGGAUGAUUCAAUAAAUGCACCUAUGAGGAAUUGAUAUGAGUUAACUUUUCUACGGAUUUUAGUAUAUGUUUUUUUUCUUAGGACCACCCCUAAUUUUUGCACUACGGUGGGUUGGCAGCAGGGCAGAGCAGUCUUGUAGCGUCGCCGGUGUUCCUCGGCCUCAGGUUACGGUGUCCGUUGGCAUGCUUCUUGAUGCGGUCUGUAUCUCCUCCCACCACGACGGUCGGCAACCAUGUCUUCACCGACGGAGCCCCUCUCCAUCGAUUUACAUAGGUGUGUGGCAAUUUAUUUUCCCAUGGCGAGUACAUACUUUUAGUACGGAAUUUAGUUAUCUGAGUUUAUAUAUAUUAAGUGCCCAUAUUUAGAUAUUAAUCAUUGUGCUUCUGAUUCUGAUCUCGGCCCCAAAUUUGUCUGUUUUGGACAUAUCUAUGCUACAGGCAUAAUGCUUGUUUUGAACUGUACGGCGUACGGUGCCGCCCAGGUACCUAGCUCUGUCCAUAUACAACCGCCAGUGAUUUCCAUCUCUCGAUUCAUAUGUUGUGUUAUGUUACGUGAUCGUAAAAUUGGGAAGUGGACCUUACCUAUGUAAUAAUAAUGCGUAUUUGUUGAAGCUUACUGGCACAACCUAUUCACAUCUGUACUGUAGCGGUUCAAGCAAAAGUUAUCUCCACGGGUGUGGAAAGGACCUUCACUAUGUAGUAGUAAUGUGUGGUUUUCUUCAUGAUUGUUACCAGUACAUGAAUGAAAUAAACAUCUGCUUGUCAAUAAAAACUUGAUAAUUGUCCGGUGCAAUUAAUGUCAACCAGAAAAUGUAUCAUAAUCUUCCAGGCCUUGUAUUCAGAAAUAGUUGCAUGGUUGCCUAAAAAUCAGUAAAUAUGAAAAGGAAAAGUGGUUAAAGUGGGAAGCUCCCUCUUUCUACUUUACAUUUUUAGGUAGAAGUGUGUCCUAGAAACUGGGUGUGUGUGCCUAUGCCUACCAUUUGCACGACAUGAGAGUUCCCACAAUCAGUUAAUAUGGCCAUCCGCCUAUCUAUAAGAAUAUAUGCUGCCAGCACUUCUGUUUUUUGUGGUCUUCCGAAGUUGCUUCCUUGGAACAUCGAGCUGUUAUUAUUUUUGAUGUUGCAUUUUUUGUGUGGAUGACAGUACUCCCUGUUUCUUACAAGCUGAAUCUCAUCUUCUCUGUCCAUUUGAAUUUUUAUAUCGAACAUUCACAUUGUCCCCGAAUGUCCCAACUAUACUAAGGAAAAAAAAGUAAAACUGUAGCAUUUUUUUCCUGUAUAACUUGUUUAAUUAUUUCAUCUUAAUUUGUUUCUUUCAAUAUCAUAUAAGCUGAUUCUCCCAGUGUAUUGACAACAUGAUGUCGUGUUGAACAGAAGGGUUCAGAAUGGAAACUACGGUUCUUCAAGUACGGGCAUGGGUUUCAUGUAAGCAAUCGGUCUUUGGUGUUACCUUUUACAAAUCAUGAAAGGUGACUUCAGUAUUUUGGGCAUGUAGCAGAGUCUCCAAUCAAAAUCUACAAGCAGUGACCAAGGCGAGGUGUAGAACGGGACUAUGAGUGCUUGGUCGAGCAUCUGCUGCCAUCGUCGAAAAUGAAGAACUCGAUGGUUAAUAGAAUCCAUAUUAUAAAUUAUCACGCGUUCAUAUGGGAUUU